rnacentral:rRNA from 1 species
CUACGGGGGGCAGCAGUAAGGAAUAUUGGGCAAUGGACGCAAGUCUGACCCAGCCAUGCCGCGUGCAGGAUGACAGCCCUACGGGUUGUAAACUGCUUUUAUACGGGAAAAAUUCCCCGGUCGUGAAUCGGGGUUGAUGGUACCGUAAGAAUAAGCAUCGGCUAACUCCGUGCCAGCAGCCGCGGUAAUACGGAGGAUGCAAGCGUUAUCCGGAUUCAUUGGGUUUAAAGGGUGCGUAGGCGGAAUGAUAAGUCAGUGGUGAAAUCCUACAGCUUAACUGUAGAACUGCCAUUGAUACUGUUGUUCUUGAGUACAUUUGAAGUGGGCGGAAUGUGUCAUGUAGCGGUGAAAUGCAUAGAGAUGACACAGAACACCGAUCGCGAAGGCAGCUCACUAAACUGUAACUGACGCUGAGGCACGAAAGCGUGGGGAUCAAACAGGAUUAGAUACCCCUGUAGUC